UGCAGAAUCCCGUGAACCAUCGAGUCUUUGAACGCAAGUUGCGCCCGAAGCCGUUAGGCCGAGGGCACGUCUGCCUGGGCGUCA
rnacentral:rRNA from 1 species